UUCUAGGUUGAUGCCACAUACACUUAG
rnacentral:piRNA from 1 species